rnacentral:rRNA from 1 species
AGCGAACGCUGGCGGCAGGCUUAACACAUGCAAGUCGAGCGGGCACUUUCGGGUGUCAGCGGCGGACGGGUGAGUAACGCGUGGGAACGUGCCCUCUGGUUCGGAAUAACUCAGGGAAACUUGAGCUAAUACCGGAUACGCCCUUUUGGGGAAAGGCUUGCUGCCGGAGGAUCGGCCCGCGUCUGAUUAGCUAGUUGGUGAGGUAACGGCUCACCAAGGCGACGAUCAGUAGCUGGUCUGAGAGGAUGAUCAGCCACACUGGGACUGAGACACGGCCCAGACUCCUACGGGAGGCAGCAGUGGGGAAUAUUGGACAGUGGGCGCAAGCCUGAUCCAGCCAUGCCGCGUGAGUGAUGAAGGCCUUAGGGUUGUAAAGCUCUUUUAUCCGGGACGAUAAUGACGGUACCGGAGGAAUAAGCCCCGGCUAACUUCGUG